GUGUUUGCUUUGGCAGCACACACAUUAAAAUUGGAAUGAUGGAGAUUAGUAUGUCCCCUGUGCAUGGAUGACAUGCAAAUUUGUGAAGUGUUUAUUUUU
rnacentral:snRNA from 1 species